UACGUAGGUGGCGAGCGUUGUCCGGAAUUACUGGGCGUAAAGGGCGUGUAGGCGGUUGAUCAAGUCCGUUGUGAAAACCCAUGGCUCAACCAUGGAAUUGCAAUGGAAACUGAUUGACUGGAGUUCGGGAGGGGUUACUGGAAUUCCUGGUGUAACGGUGAAAUGUGUAGAUAUCAGGAGGAACACCCGUGGCGAAGGCGGGUAACUGGCCCGAUACUGACGCUGAUACGCGAAAGCGUGGGGAGCAAACAGGAUUAGAUACCCUGGUAGUCCACGCUGUAAACGAUGAGUGCUAGGUGUAGGUGGUAUCGACUCCAUCUGUGCCGCCGCGAACGCAAUAAGCACUCCGCCUGGGGAGUACGGUCGCAAGAUUAAA
rnacentral:rRNA from 1 species